rnacentral:rRNA from 1 species
UACGAAGGGGGCUAGCGUUGUUCGGAAUUACUGGGCGUAAAGCGCGUGUAGGCGGGCUUUUAAGUCAGGGGUGAAAUCCUGGAGCUCAACUCCAGAACUGCCUUCGAUACUGGAAGACUUGAGUCCGGGAGAGGUGAGUGGAACUGCGAGUGUAGAGGUGAAAUUCGUAGAUAUUCGCAAGAACACCAGUGGCGAAGGCGGCUCACUGGCCCGGUACUGACGCUGAGGUGCGAAAGCGUGGGGAGCAAACAGG